rnacentral:rRNA from 1 species
AGCAGCCGCGGUAAUUCCAGCUCCAAUAGCGUAUAUUAAAGUUGUUGCAGUUAAAAAGCUCGUAGUUGAAUUUCGGGAUCAAUUCGUCGGUCGUGCUUUUUGGUACGUACUGGCGUUAUUGGUUUCUCCUUUCUGACGAGCCAUGAUGUCAUUAAUUUGGUGUUAUGGGGAGUUAGGACUGUUACUUUGAAAAAUUAGAGUGUUUAAAGCAGGCAUUAGCUUGAAUACAUUAGCAUGGAAUAAUGAAAUAGGACGUUCGAUCCUAUUUUGUUGGUUUCUAGGAUCAACGUAAUGAUUAAUAGGGAUAGUUGGGGGCAUUAGUAUUCAAUUGUCAGAGGUGAAAUUCUUAGAUUUAUUGAAGACUAACUACUGCGAAAGCAUUUGCCAAGGAUGUUUUCAUUAAUCAAGAACGAAAGUUAGGGGAUCGAAGACGAUCAGAUACCGUCGUAG